AACGGAUCCAAUACUAGGAAUGUCCGCUGGUGACGCCACUGAGGCUAUAGUAGGCUAACGAUGCUCUUAGCAUCCUAUGCGUACCCUGGAGUCCUCGUUAGCUACGAGCGUUUUCAAUACGUUCGAAAGACAUCGUAAGAUGAAAUAAAAACAACAGAAUAGAUCCAACAAUGUCGACCACUAAUGUUUCAGUGUCAGUUCAAAAAUUAUAACUUUUUAUUUUUGUACAACACAAAGUAAAAACCAUGGCUUUGGAAGCAGACCAUUAAAAAAAUUGUAUUAUCACAAAGAACAUAAAUGACAAUUCACAACAGCAAAUUCUAUUUGUGGUCCGGUUUAUUGGAAAUGCGAGUUCAACAUCAAACCGCAAGAGGGCGGCAGAGUGAUUUUGUACGACCUGUGUGGAGUUCCAUCCUCUCCCGAGGUGAAUAUCAGUACUAAACCGAAAGGGGGUGAAGAUCCGUGAUAAACCAAUAGGGGGGCGACAGACCGUGUUAAAGAUCCUUACUGAACCAAUAGGGGGCGAUAGUGCGUGUUAAAGAUCCGUACUUAACCAAUAGGAGGCAACAAAGCGGGUUAUUACAGUCUGCAAGGGAUGUAUUAGCUGAGCUGCUGCUGAUGACGCUGUGCACAACCAGAGACUUUCAUCUGAAUAUACAAGAUACGGAUCAAACAUCAAACAUCCAACUCGCCCAGUAUCUAGACGUUUGAAAGUAUUUGAACAUUCGAGAGGACAAGUCUUGAACCUAAUCGUUCGUUGGUCUACGGGAGAAUCCGCCGGCAUGUUUUACACCUGUGGACCCAAUGAGGCGAUGGUGGUGUCUGGGUUCUGCCGCUCCCCCCCCCUGAUGAUUGCUGGGGGACGCGUCUUCAUCUUCCCCUGUGUCCAGAAGCUCCAGAGGAGAUCUACAAGGACCGGCAGAAGUUCUCGGAGCAGGUGUUCAAGGUGGCGUCGUCAGACCUGGUGAACAUGGGCAUCAGCGUGGUCAGCUACACCCUGAAGGACGUCCACGACGACCAGGUGAGACCAUCGCCACGACGACCAGGUGAGACCAUCGCCACGACGACCAGGUGAGACCAUCACCACGACAAGCAGGUGAGACCAUCGCCAUGCCGACCAGGUGAGACCAUCGCCACGACGACCAGGUGAGACCAUCAACACGACAAGCAGGUGAGACCAUCGGCACGACGACCACACACACACACACACACACACACACACACACACACACACACACACACACACACACACACACACACACACACACACACACACACACACACACACACACACAGAAAUUAGUAUUUGUUUUCUAAUACUUCUGCUGUUAAUAAGGUUAGACGAAUCGCUAGUGGUUUUUUCUUAUGACACGGUGUGACUACUCAUGUGGUACUUCAGUGUGACCUGUAGGGGGGAGUAUAACAUCAAAUAAUGAACCAUCACGCAUCCAGUCUCGGGACCCAUUAAUAAAUCCCAGAAGUCAUUUAUCAAGGAGAACUACUCCACGGUCGAUGCAUUGGAAAA